UGGUGGAGUGAUUUGUCUGGUUAAUUCCGUUAACGAACGAGACCUCAGCCUGCUAAAUAGUCUAACAAAGGCUUCGGCCUUUGCUUGUAGGACUUCUUAGAGGGACAAUCGGCUUCUAACCGAAGGAAGUUUGAGGCAAUAACA
rnacentral:rRNA from 1 species